AGCUCCUUUGGAAAGGCCUGCAUGCAUUUUUUCCCUUGGUGAAUACAGGGUCUUUAGGAAAAGACAGUGAGAGAAAGUGAGAAGACAGUUUUCCUGACAGAUAAGAAUUAAGGCCACAUGUGAUAAUGAAGUUUGUCACUACAUUCAACAACAUCUGGUAUUGGACAAACCAAAUAAAAAAUAAUUGGGAAAGCUCAUUGCCACACUGCAGAAACCACAAUCUGCUGUCCUCGUACUAAGAUCGUAUGGGUGCUGAACUAGAGGAUGACACAUCCCAUCUUGUGGCUCGAUGUGUCCACUACCAGCUGCAGACAGUUGUCUGUGCUCCAAACCAGCUGGAUACAAGGGAGUUCUUGUUCAAAAGUCAUGUGGCUGAGUUACUGGAAACAUGAACUGUAGCUACUGCAUCCUGCUUCUUGGUUCAGAUUCAGAAUAAAAGAUGGUGACAGAAAGCAAACAAUGGAAUGCUGCCAUUAUCUUGC